rnacentral:rRNA from 1 species
CUAGCGACUUCAGAGUUUGAUCCUGGCUCAGGAUGAACGCUAGCGGCAGGCUUAACACAUGCAAGUCGAGGGGCAGCAUGACACGGAGAUUCGUCGAAGUGUUGAUGGCGACCGGCGCAAGGGUGCGUAACGCGUGAGCAACUUGCCCGUUUCAGGGGGAUAACCGGUGGAAACGCCGACUAAUACCCCAUAGCAUCAGCAGGAGGCAUCUCUUGCUGAUUAAAGAAUUUCGGAAACGGAUAGGCUCGCGUGACAUUAGCUAGAUGGCGGGGUAACGGCCCACCAUGGCGACGAUGUCUAGGGGUUCUGAGAGGAAGGUCCCCCACACUGGAACUGAGACACGGUCCAG